rnacentral:rRNA from 1 species
ACGAACGCUGGCGGCGUGCUUAACACAUGCAAGUGGAGCGACGAACCGGGGCUUGCCCCGGGGCAGAGCCGCGAACGGGUGAGUAACACGUGGGUUACCUGCCCCAAUGACCGGGACAACCCGAGGAAACUCGGGCUAAUACCGGAUGUGGUCUUCGGACGAAAGGAAGCUUCGGCCUCCGCAUUGGGAUGGGCCCGCGGCGCAUUAGCUUGUUGGUGGGGUAACGGCCUACCAAGGCGACGAUGCGUAGCUGGUCUGAGAGGACGAUCAGCCACACUGGGACUGAGACACGGCCCAGACUCCUACGGGAGGCAGCAGUGGGGAAUCUUGCGCAAUGCGCGAAAGCGUGACGCAGCAACGCCGCGUGGGGGAAGAAGGCCUUCGGGUUGUAAACCUCUUUCAGUUGGGACGAAGCUUCGCGGGUUAAUAGCCUGCCGGAGUGACGGUACCUUCAGAAGAAGCCCCGGCUAACUACGU